rnacentral:lncRNA from 1 species
GAGAGCAAUGUAUUUUUUUUUACUUUAAUUGAAAGUUUUAAUUGAGAAGUUAUAUUUUGAGUUUGAGAGCAUGUUGUUCUUAUUUUUAGUUUUAUUUUAGGUUUUGUUUUGAGUUUUAAUUUUUGAGAGUUUAUUUGGGUAGAAAUUUAUAUUUAUUUUGCAAUUUUAAUUUCUGUUCUGCAAUACAUUAAAUCCUCUUUCAUGCAAUCUAUAUUCUAGUCUGCAAUUUUUCUAGCACUGUUUUCAUCCAUUUUUAUGCCAAAGCUUUUCUUUGAUUAGUUAAAUAUAUAAAUGCUCUUUGAAUCUAAGUACAUGUCUUCUAGUUAAUUUCAAUUAAAAAAUA